rnacentral:rRNA from 1 species
AAUUUUAAAAUUAUUUUAAAUUUAUUUUAUUAAAAUUUUUAAAUUUUGUUAAUAAAAAUAUUUUUAUUAUUUUAUAUGUUAUUGUAUUAUUAAAGAGAUGAUUUUUUUUAUUAUAAUUAAUUAAGUAUUGAAAGAGAAUUUUGAAAAAUGUUUAAAUUUUAAUUAUUAAAAAGUAAGUUUAAUUUAUUGUACCUUGUGUAUCAGGGUUUAUUAAAAAAAUAAUAUUUAUUAAUAUUUUUCUCGAAUUUAAAAGAUCUAUUUAAUUUAUGAUUUUUAUUGUUGUAAAAAUAUUUUAAAUAAUUAAAUAGGAAUGAAAUGUUAUUCGUUUUUAAAUAUAUCUAGUUUUUUAAUAAAUGAAUUUAAUUCAUAUAUUAUAAAUAUAUAAUUUUAUUUUUAAAAUAAAUUUAUUUUAUAAUAUAAAUAUUUUAAGGGAUAAGCUUUAGAGUAUAAUUUUAAAAUUGUUAAAUUAAUUUUUAUUAAAUUGAUAUAAGCUUAGAAAUAGUUUUUAUGAAAAAAUGUUAUAAUUUUUGUUUGAUAUUAAAAGAUUUUUAUGGAUUUAAAAUUUUAUUAAAAUGAUUGAAUUAAUUAUAAUUUUAUUUUAACUAUGAUAAAAUUAGUAAAAUUAAAAAUUUUAUGUGUUUAAUUUAAUAAAAUUUUUGUAAGGUUAUUUUAAGGAAUUCGGCAAAUUUUGUAUAUUCACCUGUUUAUCAAAAACAUGUCUUUUUGAAAAUAAUUUAAAGUCUAAUCUGCUCUAUGAUGUAAAAAUUAAAUGGCUGCAGUAUUUUGACUGUACAAAGGUAGCAUAAUAAUUAGUCUUUUAAUUGGGGGCUUGUAUGAAUGAUUGGAUGAAAUAUAGACUGUCUUAAAAUAAUUAUUAAUUUAAUUUAAUUUUUAAGUUAAAAAGCUUAAAUAUUUUUAAAGGACGAGAAGACCCUAUAGAGUUUUAUAAAUUUAUUAAUGUAAAAUUUUAAUUUUUUUUUAAAUUAAUUAAUUUAUUUUGUUGGGGCGAUAAAAAAAUUUAGUAAACUUUUUUAUUUAAAAACCAUUUAUUAAUGAAUUUUCGAUCCUUAUUUUAAGAUUAGUAGAAUAAAUUACCUUAGGGAUAACAGCGUUAUUUUUUUUAGAGUUCUUAUCAAUAAAAGAGAUUGCGACCUCGAUGUUGGAUUAAAAUUAAUUUAGGUGAAGAAGCUUAAGUUUUUAAGUCUGUUCGACUUUUAAAAUUUUACAUGAUCUGAGUUCAAACCGGUGUAAGCCAGGUUGGUUUCUAUCCUUAAAAAUAUAAAAAUUUUUAGUACGAAAGGACCAAAAUUUUAAAUUUAAAUUUUAUUAAAUAGAAUUUUAUUAAAUUUUUAUAU